rnacentral:misc_RNA from 1 species
GAAAUGCGAUAAGUAAUGUGAAUUGCAGAAUUCCGUGAAUCAUCGAAUCUUUGAACGCACAUUGCGCCCGCCAGUAUUCUGGCGGGCAUGCCUGUUCGAGCGUCAUUUCAACCCUCAAGCCCCCGGGCUUGGUGUUGGGGCUCGGCCCGUCCCUAGCGGACGCGCCGUCCCCGAAAUCUAGUGGCGGUCUCGCUGUAGCCUCCUCUGCGUAGUAGCUAACACCUCGCAACGGGAACGCAGCGCGGCCACGCCGUUAAACCCCCCACUUCUGAAGGUUGACCUCGGAUCAGGUAGGAAUACCCGCUGAACUUAA